UCCCGUGUUCCUCGGGCCUACGCGCUGAUAAGAAAAAAAAACAAGACUAGAUCGCUCAUUGGCCACCGUAGCGGAAGUCGCCGGAAGCAGAUACCCGCCAUCUUGAUACUCCCAAAACAGCCAUGCCGACCUGUGCAGCGAUUAAAUGCCUUAAUCGUCAGUUUCGUGGCUGUGAGAAAACCUUCCACAGGUUCCCUCAAAAUAUGCACCUGAAGAAGAAAUGGAUUGCGAACACGAAAAGAAAGAAGUACACACCCUCGGCGACAGCAGUGUUGUGCUCGGAUCACUUCGAGGAAAGUGCUUUCGACCGGACCGGGCAGACAACGCGCCUGCGAAAGGAUGCAGUCCCCACAAUAUUUCAGUUUCCAGACCACCUAAAGAAAAAGUAUAAGCCCAGAAACCCUCGCCCCAGAAAGCAAACAGCAAGCAGCUCCGGUGACAAUGUGCACAGUCAGGACAGCAUUCCACUUCCAGACGUGCCAGGUCCAUCCGAACCAGGACCAAGUCAUAAUGACCACAGCUACUGCAUAAAAGAGAGCCCACGAUAUCUGAAACAUCAAAUUAAUCAAGCUUUGGACACCAUUCAGGCUCUGAAGAAAAGGCUGAAAUUUUCCCAACAGAAAACAAGACGAUUGAAAAAGAAGGUUUUGUCGCUCUCCGCAGUUGUCAAGACUUUAAAGGACAAAAACUUGAUUCCAACAAAUUGUGCCAACCUGUUGGAAAAGACCUAUUCUGGAGUUCCCCUGAAAAGAACCAGGAGGAUACUUAACAACAAAGAAAGGGGCAGUUUAACCAAAUAAUCAUACCCAGAAGUUUUGAAGUCCUUUGCAUUGACUCUGCGGUUUUAUUCCACAAAAGCAGACAGAUAUGUGAGAAAAAAACUUUCAGCCUUGCGCUUCCUCGGUUAUCGGCAAUAAAUAUUUUUCAGUGACGUCACGGCGACCACGUGUUUUUUUUUUGUUUGUUUGUUUACAACCCCGUUUUGGACGGCAAGAUUGUGAUUGUGUCGACGUCAGCGGGGUGCGACGAGACAGGACAAUAAGGAAGUGAGCUAGAGAGGUUGGCGGGGAGGGGGGGAUAAAAAUCACCCACGUGAAAAAGUUGCACUCACAUCUACGUUAUUCAAUAACACGACAGCAAGAUCAUAACGUGGCGUCAGAGUGACGGUAGUGUAACUACGGACUUAUGUUGCUACGCCACCCAGCGGCCUGGCAUACACAAGUCUGGACACUCUUUGAGUGGCCUUCCUCUUCUCUUAUUGGUCAAAUUUAUGUCAUGUUAAGGACGCCAUGUUGUUACCCAUUUAAUAGCAAGGCCUUCGGAAACGUUGGUUAAUUUGGUCACGCCGUUCUUUCUCAUCUGAAUAAUUGAUGCCGGCCAUGAUAUUAAUCUCAUAUAACACAAAGUAUGGGAAAUAUAUCUUACAGAUAGUAUAUUUUCAAAAUGGUCAACUAAGUCGCAUUAUGUCAUGAUGUCAACAAUAGCGGGUGAUAAUCGCCACAUACGCUGCUUG